rnacentral:rRNA from 1 species
UACGUAGGGCGCGAGCGUUGUCCGGAAUUAUUGGGCGUAAAGAGCUCGUAGGCGGCUGGUCGCGUCUGUCGUGAAAUCCUCUGGCUUAACUGGGGGCUUGCGGUGGGUACGGGCCGGCUUGAGUGCGGUAGGGGAGACUGGAACUCCUGGUGUAGCGGUGGAAUGCGCAGAUAUCAGGAAGAACACCGGUGGCGAAGGCGGGUCUCUGGGCCGUUACUGACGCUGAGGAGCGAAAGCGUGGGGAGCGAACAGGAUUAGAUACCCUGGUAGUCCACGCCGUAAACGUUGGGCACUAGGUGUGGGGGGCCUUUUCCGGGUUUUCCGCGCCGUAGCUAACGCAUUAAGUGCCCCGCCUGGGGAGUACGGCCGCAAGGCUAAA